UACGAAGGGGGCGAGCGUUGUUCGGAAUUACUGGGCGUAAAGGGCGCGUAGGCGGCGACCCAAGUCAGGUGUGAAAGUCCUGGGCUUAACCUGGGGACUGCAUUUGAUACUGGGUUGCUUGAAUUCGGGAGAGGAUAGCGGAAUUCCCAGUGUAGAGGUGAAAUUCGUAGAUAUUGGGAAGAACACCGGUGGCGAAGGCGGCUAUCUGGACCGACAUUGACACUGAGGAGCGAAAGCCAGGGGAGCAAACGGG
rnacentral:rRNA from 1 species